ACUAUGCGCAUCUCUAGCAUGUGCUGAAUGAAGGAACCACAGAACUGGCAGAAAUCCGCAUAGGUCAUGUGAUUUGGGACGCCGACAACGCAAACGAGAGGCUUCCGUCCAACCUAACACCAAAACGAAACUUGAUUCAUUCAUUAAUUAUCAUGCGUAAAAGCAGAAUAUAUCGAUGGAAGAAGAAUAGAAGGAGGAUACGGGUAGAGUAGAAGGAGUGUCGUCUGGGAAGAGAUGCAUGAGGCCACGGGUCUCCUCGAUUCUCGGGUUUCCAGAAGAGAAAUUGAAGAGAGAGGUGGAGAAGGAGGACGAGGAGGAGGAUUCGCUAGGUUCCUCGUCGGAGGGAAUCGCUGCUGUGCUUGAAGUUGAACUCCACAUCCCUUCCCUUCUCACCUCAACCCACAACACAAGGAUCUCUUCCUUCCUCCAAAACCCAUUUAUUUAUCUUUCACUUCAAAAUAUUCAACCUUUCAACUCCCAACUCAUUUUUAACCAAUAUUUUAUCACUUAAAUAAAAUAAUUGCAUUCAUGCUUAUAUGUUUUGCUUUUCUGGUUUCCUUGAGAAGGAUUAAAACUAGGGUUUACACAGAAAUUAUAACAACUCUCUUUUUCCCUCUUUAUAAAACUCUUUUUGUAAUUGACUUGAAUUUUAUUAAAAACUAGUCAUUUACCCGUGCGAUGCUCACAAUAGAAUAAAAGCAUACCUCUCAUCAAUCAUAAAUUAUAACACACGGGUUGCUCCGCUCCGCUAUUUUUUGUUUAGUAUAAAAAAUUAUUUGUAUUUUCCAAACUAUUUUUUUACGAAUAAAAUGAGUCUUUUGUGGUGUUUUCUUUUUCUUUGUUCUUAUUUAAAUUAUGUAAUUGGACCAACAAUUUAUUUAUUAAAAAAAUAAAUAAAAAUAAUUUAUAAACUUUGAUAAUUUUAUCUUAUUCAACUAUAAUUUAAUUAAUGAAUGAGAUGUACAUAAAUUAUAUUGUUAUUUAAUCACAAAAUUAUCAUAAUAAAUUUAUUAUUUUUUAUAACAAUUGUUUCAUAAGUUAUACUACGAAAAAAUCAUGAUUGAUUAAUAAUAAAAAAAAUUAACAAAUUAAAAAAGAGUAAAAGAUAUGAAAAGAAUAAUAGUAAUAUCACAUAAUUGUGAUGAGUUAUCUUCUCACAACUUUAAAAGAGUUUAUGUAUUUUUUUCAAUGCAUGUCAAUUGUAAACCUCACCAAUAAUCUAUUUGUUCUUACUACUUUGUUUCAGAGUAAGAUAUUUUGUCAUAAUAUUAAUAUUCCCUAGGUUGUUGUAUUUAUUAUAUAAAAUUAAUUAAUAAUACAAAAUCUUUGAUAAGAAAUCAAACUUUUGAAUAAACUUUCGUAUACAAUUUCUUAUACUAAAAUUAUUAUAUCUAUUAUAUAAAAUUUAUUAUACUACUGUCAACUGUUGUGUAUAUUAUUAUAUUUUAUCUUUGAGUUUGAAUAAUUAUAUAUUUAUAUAUUCUUCCUAAAAUGAAUGAUUUUAUCCUCUACACCUAUAAUAAUAAAGGAAUAAUAUAUGCACAAAUUAUUAUUAUUUAAUCACAAAAUUAUUAUAUAAGAUAAAUUUAUUAAUUUUUAUAGUAAGUAUAUCAGAAAAAAAUAUAUAAUUUGUUGUAUCACUAAUAUUAUUGUAUAUAUUAUCAUAUUUUGUCUUUGGAUUUGGAUAGCGUUUUCAUCCAGUGGAGGUCCUACCAUAAUAAUGAGUCUCAGUAAUAUUUAUAUAUUCUUUUAAAAUGAAUGAAAAUGAUCUAUAAAUUUUGAUAAUUUUAUCCUUUUUAACUAUAAUUUAAUAAAUGAAUAAUAUAUAUACAUUUAUAUUGUUAUUUAAUCACAAAAUUAUUAUAUAUAAUAAAUUUAUUAAUUUUUUAUAACAAGUAUAUCGACAAAAAAAAUAUCAUGUGAAGCAGGCAGAUUACAAAACAGAAAAGAAAUUAUGGAGAGAAAUAGAAGAGGAAUCUCGAGAGAAGUGAAACGGCGGCCAUUGUAGAAGCUGUCGGUGGUGUCUUAUCGUCAAAGCGAAUUAAAACAUAAAGAAAGAAGAAGACAUCAAUAUUGCAGAUGUGAUUGCGAUUGUGAUUUGUGAGCAUGAAUAUGCAUAUAUACCAGUAGCAUACCAGACUAUGCGCAUCUCUAGCAUGUGUUGAAUGAAGGAACCACAGAACUGGCAGAAAUCCGCAUAGGUCAUGUGAUUUGGGACGCCGACAACGCAAACGAGAGGCUUCCAUUCAUUAAUAAAAGGAUAGAAGCUUGAUUCAUUCAUUAAUUAUCAUGUGUAAAAGGAGAAUAUAUCGAUGGAAGAAGAAUAGAAGGAGCAUACGGGUAGAGUAGAAGGAGUGUCGUUUCCAGAAGAGAGAGGUGGAGAAGGAGGAUUCGCUAGGUUCCUCAUCGGACAUCCCUUCCCUUCUCACCUCAACCCACAACACAAGGAUCUCUUCCUUCCUCCAAAACCCAUUUAUUUAUCUUUCACUUCAAAAUAUUCAACUUUUCUACUCCCAACUCAUUUUUCACCAAUAUUUAUUCACUUAAAUAAAAUAAUUGCAUUCAUGCUUAUAUGUUUUGCUUUUUCUGAUUUCCUCCAAUUUAUUUACCUACCUGGACAACUUGAGCUCGAGAUGCAAUGAUAUGUAUCAAUUUGAAUAUAUACCUUGAGAAGGAUUAAAACUAGGGUUUACAGAGAAA
rnacentral:lncRNA from 1 species